rnacentral:lncRNA from 1 species
AAAACGCAGAGAGUUCCAGAGACCCAAAUAGAAGCAGAAAACAAUGGAAAAAAAAAUGCAAAGAGAAGUAGAGAAGAAUCGAGAAACAUGAGGAAAAAGAGAGAGAAAAGAGGGGAAGAAAAACAAUAACUAGAAUUGCAAAUAAACAGGAAAGGAGCAGCAACAUCGACAUGAACAAGGUCGAAUUAUGCUUCUCGCUUGGGGUUGAUUCUUGACUGCAGCAAGGUAACACCAAAUUGUAGUAGUUCAGGUUUAUGAAUUUUGUUUUCAUCAUUAUAGUUAUUGGUAGCAAUUAGACCUAAGAAGCAGGGCAAGCCCUAAGGAAGAAAUGAAAUGGGUUAAUUUGAUCACGUGAACAAGAAUUUCAUCAUAAAAUAAUUGGAAUUUUACGUGAUGGGCUGUGCAUAAUGAUGCCCAUAGAUAGCUAAAUACAGGUACUAAGGCAAGAGAUGGGUUAGUUCAACAAAGGUAAGUAGGGUUAUUAUGAAUAUAAGUCCACCAUUAAACAUUAGUAAAGAAGUGGAGAAACAACAGGAGAAUAUUUGGCUUAAACUUUGGAGACUUGUUAAGACAUUACUAAUGAAUUCUAUAUGAAAGAAAUUUAAUGGCUUAUUUUCAAUAAAGAAACGAUAUGGGCAAGAUUAUGGUGAAUUAUAAUUUAAUUUUAUGGUGCUAGGUUGUUUUGCUUCAUUUUCAAAGUUAAACCAAUGCUUCAAAUUGUGAAGCAUUAUAUGGACAGAAAUUUAUAUACAUUGAAUAGAAACAGGAACGAGAAUGAGUUAAAGGAGCUUUGAUUAUGGGUUUGACCAAUUGUUAUUAAUUGGUACCUGCAACAAGAGAGAAAGGAAUGGGACUCUACUUUAAAUUCUUCUUUUACCUUUAAACAAUAGUAAUUCUUUUCAAUUAUAAAGUGACUGCAAUUGGAUAUUUCUUUGGUCCAUUGGCUAGGGGAUUGGAUUGAAUGGUUGCUAAUACGAAGAAAUGUUACAUUUUUCAGGAAAUAUCGAGGUCAGGACACUUGGUGAUCGAAUUAGUCCUGUGAGUGGAAAAAUAUAAAUAUUUUUAAAGCAUUUAUAAAUUAAGUUUAUUGUUAAAGUAUGUGCAAUUAUAUGUAAUUAUGUGUUCGAAUUAUAUGAUUUUUAUGGAAAUAUCUUUUAUUAUGAUACAUGUGGGAUUUCAAAGAUUGUAUACGUCAUGUUGUGAAUUGGAAUAUGAGAUAUGAUUUUGAGAUCGACCAGAAAAGUACCCGUGAUUAUAUAUUUCUUCUAGUUCACUGAAGGGCCUUGGCCGUGUUCUAUACUACACUGAGGGGUCAUGGACCGGGGAUGAAGGGGUCUCAACCGUGUAUAUAUAGUUCACUGAGGGGCCUUGUCCGUGUUCUAGAAUUGAUUUUGAGAGGUCUUUGAGACCGACUUUCAUUCACAGAGGGGCCAAAGGCCCGUGGCGAAAGUUCUUAGCCCGAGAGGCGGAUUACAUAUUUCAGUCAGAGCGUACAUUUUUGGUGAAUUUUUCAGCAUGUUUGAUGUGAUGAGAUUAUAACAUGAUUAUCAAUUGAUGUUUUAUCAUGAUUUUGAGAUGAUAUUUUACGACCUUUUGUGAAUAUUUCACUUUUGGUUAUAAUUACAUGAUGUUAUCUUGUGAAUUAUUAAAUUAUAUGAACUCGAUUUUCGAUAGAAAUGUAAAAUUGAAAAAGUAUAAUUAUUUUCGAACUGUUCCACUCACUGAGUUAUCAACUCAUAUAUUUUUCCUACAGGUGGAAAUUUAUUCUUUUUUGUUGGAAAAGCCUAAUGAUUUCGGAAUGAGAGCCACACGACAUGUUGAGUGUUAUAAUUCAUAUUAAUGAAGCAUGAAGAAAUUUUUUUGGGCCCAUCGCAUUAUAUUUUAUAUAAGCACUUGAUUUUAUUGCAUUUUUUUGAAAUAACUCAUAGUCAGCCUUGAUGAUAGAUUUGACAUCUAUUCAGCAUCUAUCAUCGGCGCACGUCACGUUUCGGGUCCACUAGGGUGAUUCGGGACGGGUCGUGUCAUUAUUUAAGGAUGCACAUGAAUAUUUGAAACAUUGUGAUCAAUGCCAACGUACAGGGACAAUCUCCAAAAAGAAUGAGAUGUCUUUGAAUUCGAUUCUAGAAGUGGAGCUCUUUGAUGUUUGGGAGAUUGAUUUUAUAGGACCAUUUCCUUCUUCUUAUAAAAAUUAGUACGGAUUGGUGGUAGUUGAUUACGCAUCGAAAUGGGUAAAGACAAUAGCAGCAUCGACUAAUGAUGCUCGAAUGGUUGUUAAUUUUCUAAAGAAGAACAUAUUCUCGGGCUUUGGCAUCUCUCGAACUAUCAUCAGCGAUGGCGGUAAACACUUCUAUAAUAGGCUUUUGGAGUCCGUACUAGCAAAAUAUGGGGUAAAACAUCGGGUUGCCACACCUUAUCACCCUCAAACAAGUGGCUAGGUGAAAGUGUCAAAUAGGGAGCUAAAGAGAAUUCUCGAGAAGACAGUGAACAGCCCAAGAACUGAUUGGUCACGAAACUUGACGAUGCAUUGUGGACAUACAGGACUGCCUACAAAACACCAAUAGGCAUGUCACCAUAUCGCCGUGUAUUUGGAAAAACUUGUCACCUUUUAGUGGAAUUGGAGUAUCGAGCAUAUUGGGCAGUAAAGCAGUUAAACAUAGACUUGACAGUAGCUAGAGAUAAGAGGAUACUACAAUUGAAUGAGUUGGAUGAAUUUCGGAUGGAUGCCUAUGAGAAUACAAAACUGUGCAAGGAGAGGAUGAGGAAAUUGCAUGAUAAAUACAUCCAAAAACGUGAGUUCACUCUAGGUCAAAAAGUAGUAUUGUUCAAUUCUAUGUUGAAAUUUUUUCCUCGAAAAUUACGUUCCAGAUGGUUUUGACCAUUCACAGUUGUUCAAAUCUUUCCACAUGGGGCAGUUAAUGUAACUCACGAGAUAAAAUGAACCUUCAAAGUAAAUGGGCAGCGGUUGAAAGCAUAUUGGGUGGUGACUUUGAUAAAGAGAAGUCACUUACCCAACUUCAUGACCUAAAAUGAUUGAUCUGACAGUCUAGUUAAAAACUAUAAAUUAAGUGCUAAUUGGGAGGCAAUCCAACCUUCUAUCUAUUUUAUUUAUCUUACUUUUUGUACCGCAUUUACAUGUAGAUUUAUUUUGAUUAUUAGUUUGUAUUAGACUUAGACACGUUUCAAUUUGUAGGGUAUCACCAUCCUAGAUGUUCCUUUUAGGCCUUUGAAUCUAUUGAUGAUUAUUUUGAUUGUUUGGACUAAGUAACACAUGUUCUAGAUUAUUUGAUCUCUAAUAUUUGAUUUGACCAUCAUAUACAGGAACAUGACGUCAUGGAACACUCAAACCAACAUAGACCAAGAGAAAAGCAUGAUGAAAGAGAUUGUCGAGCCAUCAUCUGUAGUGCCUCACACAUUCAAUAGAAAACUUCUGGGAGUAUUUUCUUCCUUUUCUUCUCCAAUCCCUUAUACUCUUACUUUUGGUUUACAACAUUAAGGACAAUGUCGGGUUCAAGUUUGGGGGUAGGAAACACUUUGAGUUUUUGGUUUUCGUAUACUUGUGUGUUUUGGCAUGUUUGUUUUUAGUACUACUAAAAAAAAAAAAAAAAAAAUCUUUUUUAGGUUGUGUGCUCGUGUGGGUUAAACAAUUUGGCUAACAAUGAUGAUUUAAGGUUGAGAUUUGGUGUUAAUUUAUAAACUGUGGAUAUGUUGCAUGCUAGACUGAUUGAAUCUUACCGUGUAAAGCUUGAUAUUAUAUGCGCACUAGAAUUGAGUUUGACAUGGUUAUGAAAUGAGUUGUUUCAUGCUCUUAAUAAGUUGAUUUAUUUGGACAUAGAUGCUUUAUCUAAACCAUACUAAAUUAAUUAUCCUUAAACCAAAAUUAAGCACAGUUUGGGGUGAUGUUACUAUUGUAGGAGGAUACGGAUGUGGCUAGGAUUCCUUGUGUGAAAUUUUUUUUGUGUAUUGUCUUAGAUUAACAUGAGAAAAUUAGGCGAAAGUCUUAAAUUCGAGAUCGGUUUGCUUGAAUAGGUGUGUGAUAAAGGGCAUUGCACUAAUCAAGACAUAUUUUAAAAUUUAAAACUUCUCUUUGAAACCUAUAACUCGAGUAAUUAAACCUGCAAGGGUGUCUUAAAACAUGAUGCCCUAAAGUCAUCUAACUUGGAAGUCAUCGGCCUAAAGCUUGCUACAGGAGUCAUUUAGAAAGCAAUCAGAGAUGAAGUUGACCAUGAAAGAAAAAAUUAUUUUUUUCGAGACCUUUUUUACUUAGGUUAUUAAGCCUGUAAGGGUAUUUGAAAACCUAGCGCCCUAAAGUCAUUUGACUUGGGAGUCAUCGACCUAAAACUUGCUAUAUGGGCCAUUUAGAAAGCUUAAGGAUGAGUGCGCAAAAAAAAAAAAAAAAAAGAUGCAUUAAAUGCAUUGUUAAGUCCCAACACUUAUUCGAGAGAAUUUGACUUUCAAUAAAAGAUACUAGCCUAGUUGAGUCUUGACGGUUUAACCAAUCAAAUAAUUGGAGAAUCCCUGUUCAUUGAUGUGUUGACUUGCAACUAGUGACGUCCACCUGAAUGGGAGAGAGUGAGGAUAGUAAUAAAAAAAUUCAACCUUAGAUUACACGUUGGAAAAAGAGUGAAAAAAGAAUAAGUUCAAGGUGUGUAAAUCUUACGAGUGAUAAAAUUUCAUUUUGGACCACUAAGGGUCGGGAAUUGGAAUAACUUGUGAAUUUAUUAAUGUCUACUUAACUCUUCACACACACACAUCGAAUUUGCAUUUAAUGAGUGGAUAUUGAUUUGGUAUUGUGAUAUUGAAGCAUGUUUGUGAUAUUAACACUAAAAUCUUGAAUCCUAAGGUGAGAAGCCAGUUUGUCUACCAAAUAUUUUUGCACGAUUGUGUGUUUGUUAUUAUUUAGAUUAUAGUUUUGUUUGAGGAUAAACAAAUGUUUAAGUUUGGGGGUGUUUGGCCCUAAAGUAAUAAUAUUUGAUAGUUCUUUUGACAAAUGAUACCCUAAAUUGUUUUAUUUUAUGUUUAAUAGGUAAAUUUUUUGAAUGAAAAAGGAAGUGAAGGAAAUAAGCAAAAACUAACGAAAAUUGGCAAAAUCCAAAAUACGGGGACUAAAUUUGGCUCUUGGAUAAGUUGAAGAAAGAUGGGCCAUUUACCAAUUGGGGUUGGAAUGGGAAGUGGGCUUUAUGUUAAAGACAACAAAAAUUAAUUUGGGCCUUAAUUGGACUUGUAUUUGGAAAUGAAGAGAAUUGGAGGGCUAAAUUAUAUUGUAUACACACAUUAGGGUAGCCAUAUACAGUCACGCAUAGAAGGAGAGAAAAAAAUUUAGAGAAGAAAAAAAGCAGCCAAUUAUUCUUUAGAUACACGCACAGAAAUGGAGGUUGCUGGUGGCUGAAAUUAUAUAAAAUAAUACACACAUAGGCAGCAGUUGGCUGGGAGAAAAACCACAGAAAAAUGGCAACGAUUUGGAAGAAAAAAGAGGGUAGCCUGCUAUUGGAAGAGGAAAAAAAUAGAUACACAUAAAAACGGCAGCUUGCAGGGAGGAAAAUAUUUGAGAAAAAAGGCAGCAACUUUGAAGAAAAGAAAUGGUUGAAUUGAUUAUUAUAUCAAAAGAAAAAUUGGUGGUUGACUUGGAUUCUUUGACCACCAAAAUUUGCGGCUGUUUGAGAGAAACCAAGAAGAGGGGCUGCUGGGAUUAUAUAUAUACACAGAUGCACAGAAAAUUGGAGACACGCAUGAAGAUGGCUGCUCCAUUGAAGAAAAUGAUUCCAAUUUCUUGUUCAAUAAUCUAUCAAUGAUUGCGCAAGGAAUUUGAGAAUUAAAUAUGUUCCAUCGAUUUUCGAUGAUGUCGCUCAAACUUUAUUUGUUUACUUUCGACUCUAUGUUAAGCUAAUUUUUCAUAUUGCUAGGAUAUGUUGAACCCUUGUUAUAAAUUUUUAAUUUGAAUAAUUUAAUUGACGUUAGUUUGUUUAAUUGUUUGGAUGUUUAUAACGGUUUAAGUUGCUUUUCAAUUAACUGACCAUUAAUUGAAUUAUUUAU